AACGAACGCUGGCGACAUGCCUAACACAUGCAAGUCGAACGAGACCUUCGGGUCUAGUGGCGCCCGGGUGCGUAACGCGUGGGAACCUGCCCUUAGGUUCGGAAUAACUUCCCUAAAGGGGUGCUAAUACCGGGUAAUGUCUUCGGACCAAAGAUUUAUCGCCUUUGGAUGGGCCCGCGUUCGAUUAGCUAGUUGGUAGAGUAAAAGCCUACCAAGGCGACGAUCCAUAGCUGGUCUGAGAGGAUGAUCAGCCACACUGGGACUGAGACACGGCCCAGACUCCUACGGGAGGCAGCAGUGGGGAAUAUUGGACAAUGGACGGAAGCCUGAUCCAGCAAUGCCGCGUGAAUGAUGAAGGCCUUAGAGUUGUAAAGCUCUUUUACCCGGGAUGAUAAUGACAGUACCGGAAGAAUAAGCUCCGGCUAACUCCGUG
rnacentral:rRNA from 1 species